rnacentral:rRNA from 1 species
AUUGAACGCUGGCGGCAUGCUUUACACAUGCAAGUCGAACGGCAGCGCGGGCUUCGGCCUGGCGGCGAGUGGCGAACGGGUGAGUAAUGCAUCGGAACGUGCCCAGUAGUGGGGGAUAGGCCGGCGAAAGCCGGAUUAAUACCGCAUACGACCUGAGGGUGAAAGCGGGGGACCGAAAGGCCUCGCGCUAUUGGAGCGGCCGAUGUCGGAUUAGCUAGUUGGUGGGGUAAAGGCUUACCAAGGCGACGAUCCGUAGCUGGUCUGAGAGGACGACCAGCCACACUGGGACUGAGACACGGCCCAGACUCCUACGGGAGGCAGCAGUGGGGAAUUUUGGACAAAGGGGGCAACCCUGAUCCAGCCAUGCCGCGUGCGUGAAGAAGGCCUUCGGGUUGUAAACCGCUUUUGUUCGGGAAGAAAUCCUCUGGGCUAAUACCCCGGGGGGAUGACGGUACCGGAAGAAUAAGCACCGGCUAACUACGUG